CUCAUAGCGUAUAUUAAAGUUGUUGCAGUUAAAACGCUCGUAGUCGGAUUUCGGGGCGGGUUGCUCGGUCUGCCGAUGGGUAUGCACUGGGUGGCGCGUCCUUCCUUCCGGAGACCGCGCCUUCUCUUAACUGAGCGGGCGCGGGAGACGGAACGUUUACUUUGAAAAAAUCAGAGUGUUUCAAGCAGGCAUCUCGCUCUUGCAUGGAUUAGCAUGGGAUAAUGAAAUAGGACUUUGGUGCUAUUUUGUUGGUUUCGAACACCGAAGUAAUGAUUAACAGAGACAGUCAGGGGCACUCGUAUUCCGUCGAGAGAGGUGAAAUUCUCAGACCAACGGAAGACGAACCACUGCGAAAGCAUUUGCCAGGGAUGUUUUCACUGAUCAAGAACGAAAGUUAGGGGAUCGAAGACGAUCAGAUACCGUCGUAGUCUUAACCAUAAACCAUGCCGACUAGGGAUUCGAGGGUGUUCCAUCUGUGACCCCUUGAGCACCUUUCGGGAAACUAAAGUCUUUGGGUUCCGGGGGGAGUAUGGUCGCAAGGCUGAAACUUAAAGGAAUUGACGGAAGGGCACCACCAGGAGUGGAGCCUGCGGCUUAAUUUGACUCAACACGGGGAAACUUACCAGGUCCAGACAUUGUGAGGAUUGACAGAUUGAGAGCUCUUUCUUGAUUCAAUGGGUGGUGGUGCAUGGCCGUUCUUAGUUGGUGGAGUGAUUUGUCUGGUUAAUUCCGU
rnacentral:rRNA from 1 species